AUCAGUGUCCGUACAUUAAACUUGGUUUUCUUCUUUCCGUGUAGUCGGGGGAGGAUAUGCCAGAUGUGAAGUGUCUUACGGCUGAUUUUCGGAUCGGCUGUGAGUCCUUUGAAAUGUACAGAACUGACUCUCUUUGUUCGAAAAGCGUGGCAUUGCUGGUUGUAAAGGCUGUUCAUGUGACCAGUCGGCGAUCGGUUUGUCUGCUGUGGCGUUAAUGGAGGAGUGUUCGAUUCGCGGUAUGGUUGGCUUCGGCUGAACAGACGCUUAUUGGUCAUUCUUCUUGCUGUGGCGGUAUAACUGAUGAACCGUAGUCGUGUGUGACUUACCUUUUGAAUCGGCGUUGCUGUGCGAAGUAGAGUGACAGUUUCGGCUGUCGAGGGUCGACCCAUUUGGGAAAUUGUGCGGUGCGGCUUCGGUCGCGCGGCAUCUCAAUUGGACCUGAUAUCAGGCAAGAUUACCCGCUGAACUUAAGCAUAUCAAUAAGCGGAGGA
rnacentral:rRNA from 1 species